GUCGUCAGCUCGUGUUGUGAAAUGUUGGGUUAAGUCCCGCAACGAGCGCAACCCUUAUCCUUUGUUGCCAGCGGUUCGGCCGGGAACUCAAAGGAGACUGCCAGUGAUAAACUGGAGGAAGGUGGGGAUGACGUCAAGUCAUCAUGGCCCUUACGAGUAGGGCUACACACGUGCUACAAUGGCGCAUACAAAGAGAAGCGACCUCGCGAGAGCAAGCGGACCUCAUAAAGUGCGUCGUAGUCCGGAUUGGAGUCUGCAACUCGACUCCAUGAAGUCGGAAUCGCUAGUAAUCGUAGAUCAGAAUGCUACGGUGAAUACGUUCCCGGGCCUUGUACACACCGCCCGUCACACCAUGGGAGUGGGUUGCAAAAGAAGUAGGUAGCUUAACCUUCGGGAGGGC
rnacentral:rRNA from 1 species